GAGUGAGAGCGACUGAUCUCUCCCCAUUGCACGCGGCGGGAAACUGAUGAUUUUGGGCAGAGCUCUCCCUCCACAAUUCGCUUCAAAACCCUAACCCCGAAAUUCUACUCCUCAAUUCGUCACCUGAAUCGCAUCGGGUUCAUACACUCGCAGAGAGAGAGAGAGAGAGAGAGAGGGGGUAAGAGAGUUCGCAUUGACAUAGAUUCGACGGAGAGAGAAAAACCCACUUCGAUUGUGUUGGGGGGUUUGGUCUUCUGGAGAAGUUGAGCUGUCGCUCUUCCAUGGCUUUUCCGGCGAGACAAUCGGAAGCUACGGAAGAGGACACCAACGUUGACGCGCACACGGCGACGCCAGUUCGCUACCUCUCGCUGGACGACGUCUACUCGGCCACGACGCCCAACCUGACCGCCAGGGGAUCGUCCGCGCUGAUGUCGAAGAAGAUUAAGGCCCGCAAGCUCCCCUCCAUCAGCGAUCAGUCGGAUGGGCCUGAAGUUGAGAUCGACCGGGUCGAUGACCACCCAAUUAAUGGGGACUGCAAGGGUAACGACAGUGGCACUCUCAGUUUUCGCAGGCAUCACUUGAAAGGUAACGUGCCGCUCGUCCGUGUGUACUCUCGGCGCUCUGAACGACCCAUUUGCAAUACGGAUUAUCCCACAAUGUUGGAUAGAUUGAUUGCUCGUGCGGAAGCCGAAUCGAGAUUGCCUAUAAAGACAGAAUUUUGUGAUGAUUUUGAAAUGGACGAGGGCAUUAAUUUCUCUAAAUCCAAGUCCGAAAUCUCGCCCCACAAGAAGAGGAAAUGUGGCAGUGGCGAGCUCGCAAAAUUGGGAGUUCGCUCAAAUGACUUGCACAAUAUGGGUGGACCUCGGUUGAGAGAGAAUCGGAAGCCUAAUAGCAACAGUUACUGUGACCAGCGAAAGAGGAAGAAACGUGACUCUAGUGUCGGAGACAAUGUUAAAGGUUUGCCCACAAAGAAAAGAUGGGUGAGGUUGUCUUUAGACGACGCCGAUCCUAAAAUCUUCAUUGGUUUGCAAUGCAAGGUUUUUUGGCCAUUGGAUACAGAUUGGUACCCGGGCAGUAUUCUGGGGUACGAUUCGGAGACAAACAAACAUCAUGUCAAGUAUGAGGAUGGAGAUAAGGAAGAUUUAGUUCUUGUGAAUGAGAAGAUCAAAUUUUAUUUGUCUCCCAAUGAGGUGCGGCAGUUGAACCUGAAAUACAGCAUUAAAAGUAUGGAUUCUGAUGCAUGUGAUUAUGAAGAGAUGGUCGUGUUAGCUGCCAGCUUGGAUGAUUGCCAAGAGCCUGAACCUGGGGAUAUUGUAUGGGCUAAGCUCACUGGUCAUGCAAUGUGGCCUGGGCUUGUUGUGGACGAUUCCCACAUAAGUGCUCAUGGGAUUUUAAAGAAAACUUCUGUUGGCAGAUCAGUUUCUGUUCAAUUUUUUGGUACCCAUGAUUUUGCAAGGCUUAGGACAAAGCAGGUUAUUUCCUUUCUCAGAGGGCUUCUUUCUUCUUUGCACUUGAAAUGCAAGAAACCUCGCUUCGUUAGAGCUCUAGAAGAAGCAAAAACAUAUCUGAGUGAACAAAAGCUACCCAGAAGAAUGCUUCUGCUGCAGAGUGGCCGUACUACUGAUGGUUGUGGAACUGCUAGUGAUGAAGAUGGAGAAAGUGGAGAUUCGGCUGAAGACUGCAUGAGCAAUGAAAAUGGCCAAAGAAAACUGGAGGGCCUUGGGACCCUUCCAUAUGUACUGGGAGAUCUGCAAGUAAUUAGCCUUGGAAAGAUCGUGAGGGACUCAGAAUUCUUUCAAGAUGGAAAGUACAUCUGGCCAGAAGGAUAUACUGCCGUGAGGAAGUUUACUUCAAUUAAGGAUCCAAGGGUUCGUGCUUCAUAUAAAAUGGAGGUGUUGAGAAACCCCGAGUUGAAGAUCCGACCUCUAUUUAGAGUAACUUUAGAUAGUGGAGAGCAGUUUAAAGGGUCCACACCAUCAGCCUGCUGGGAUAAGAUCUACAAAAGAUUGAAGAAGGCAUGUAGCAGUUUGGCUGAUGGUGCUGAAGCUGGUGUGGAAACGAUGUUCAAACGUGGCUCAGAUAUGUUUGGUUUCUCUAAUCCUAAAGUAGCAAAACUCAUACAGUGUUUAUCAAAAUCCAGACAUUUGACAAAGUUCUCUAUGAGCAAAUUAGCUUCUGGAAAAUUUAGAGAUUUCCCAGUUGGAUAUAGACCCGUUCGUGUUGAGUGGAAAGACCUUGACAAAUGCAAUGUUUGUCAUAUGGAUGAGGAGUAUGCAAACAAUCUUUUCCUCCAGUGCGAUAAGUGCAGAAUGAUGGUUCAUGCUAAAUGCUAUGGAGAGUUAGAGCCUGUAGACGGUGUACUAUGGUUAUGCAAUCUAUGUCACCCGGGGGCUCCUGAUCCUUUGCCUCCAUGCUGUCUUUGCCCAGUUAUAGGGGGUGCUAUGAAACCCACGACUGAUGGACGAUGGGCUCAUUUAGCUUGUGCUAUGUGGAUACCGGAAACUUGCUUGUCGGAUGUGAAGAGAAUGGAGCCUAUUGAUGGUAUCAGUAGAAUUAAUAAGGAUCGCUGGAAGCUGUUGUGCAGCAUCUGUGGAGUACAAUAUGGCGCCUGUAUCCAAUGCUCAAACAAUACUUGUCGAGUAGCAUAUCAUCCACUGUGUGCAAGAGCAGCUGGUCUUUGUGUUGAGCUUGAGGAUGAGGAAAGACUUCAUCUUCUUUCAAUAGAUGAUGAAGAUGAAGAACACUGCAUUCGUCUUCUCUCUUUCUGCAAGAAGCACAGACAGCCAUCAAAUGAGCGUCCUGCUUUGGACGAGCACAUCAAUCAAGUUGAGCGUCAAUGUUCUAACUACGACCCUCCCUCUAACCCAUCUGGAUGUGCUCGUUGUGAGCCUUACAGCUCUUUUGGGAGAAGAGGACGGAAAGAACCUGAAGCACUUGCUGCUGCAUCUUUGAAACGCCUUUUUGUUGAGAACCAGCCUUACUUGGUCGGUGGAUACAGUCAACAUUUAUUGGCAGGCUUGCCUUCCAAUGGAGUUGUUGUCUCCAAGUACUCAUCUCGCCUUCACAAAUUAGGGUCCCAUCAAGUUGAUACCUCUGAUAGCGUAUCUUCUAUGGCGGAGAAGUAUAAAUUCAUGAGGCAGACCUUUAGAAAGAGAUUAGCAUUUGGGAAAUCAGGAAUACAUGGAUUUGGUAUCUUUGCUAAGCAACCACACAGGGCAGGUGACAUGGUUAUUGAGUACACAGGUGAACUAGUUCGACCACCUAUAGCCGACAGAAGAGAAAAUUUCAUAUACAAUUCACUGGUGGGUGCUGGGACAUACAUGUUCCGAAUCGAUGAUGAACGAGUUAUUGACGCCACAAGAGCAGGAAGCAUUGCUCAUCUGAUUAAUCAUUCGUGUGAACCGAAUUGUUAUUCUAGAGUCAUAAGUGUCAAUGGUGAUGAGCACAUAAUUAUCUUUGCCAAAAGGGAUAUUGAAAGAUGGGAAGAGCUCACGUAUGAUUACCGGUUUUUCUCAAUUGACGAACAAUUAGCUUGUUACUGUGGCUUCCCUGGAUGUCGUGGGGUUGUCAAUGACACUGAAGCGGAGGAGCAAGCAGCAAAGCUCCAUGUGCCUCGCAGUGAUUUGGUUGAGUGGAAAGGAGAUUGAAAUGAGAAAAUCACUUGAUAUCGAUAGCUGGGAAACCAAGAACUUUGGUUUUGCAAAUAAGUUUCACAUUGCCAAAAUAUGCCCAUGAGCCUCAUGGAGUGGUUUACUACCUUUUUCCAGUCUAUUGAUCAGCCUGUCAUUUAUCGUGGAGGAUGGGAUAUAGUGCACUUUUUUGCCCUCGUCUCAUCCUCUACAUCAUAUCUAAUUCCUCCUGGUUUGGUGAAAGUCCAUUAGUUCAACAUCUCUUUCCUUAAGCUGACCUCUCUUGGUCACUCUGGAUCUCCUAAUUGAUUUGUAAAGGCUCAACCUCCAAGAGAAAACAGAGGCGAUAGGAUGUUUUGAUUCACUAUUCACAUUCUGUUUUCAGCAGCAACCUUCUGCUGUUCUCAUACUUGGGCAUCCAUUUGACUAUGCUUAAAGUUUGUAGAAUAGUUAAUCCAGAGAAGUGUACAUAUAAUACAGCGAUCAUAUUGUACAGUUGGAGUCAACUUUCUUCAUCAA